rnacentral:rRNA from 1 species
AGUGAACGCUGGCGGUAGGCCUAACACAUGCAAGUCGAACGGCAGCACAGGAGAGCUUGCUCUCUGGGUGGCGAGUGGCGGACGGGUGAGGAAUACAUCGGAAUCUACUUUUUCGUGGGGGAUAACGUAGGGAAACUUACGCUAAUACCGCAUACGACCUACGGGUGAAAGCAGGGGACCUUCGGGCCUUGCGCGAUUGAAUGAGCCGAUGUCGGAUUAGCUAGUUGGCGGGGUAAAGGCCCACCAAGGCGAAGAUCCGUAGCUGGUGUGAGAGGAUGAUCGGCCACACUGGACCUGAGACUCGGGCAAGACUCCAACGGGAGGCAACAACGGGGAAUAUUGGACAAUGGGCGCAAGCCUGAUCCAGCCAUACCGCGUGGGUGAAGAAAGCCUUCGUGUUGUAAAGCCCUUUUGUUGGGAAAGAAAUCCAGCUGGCUAAUACCCGAUUGGGAUGACGGUACCCAAAGAAUAAGCACCGGCUAACUUCGUGCCAGCAGCCGCAGUAA